CUAGCCCUACGGGGGGCAGCAGUGGGGAAUAUUGCACAAUGGGGGGAACCCUGAUGCAGCGACGCCGCGUGAGUGAAGAAGUAUUUCGGUAUGUAAAGCUCUAUCAGCAGGGAAGAAGAUGACGGUACCUGACUAAGAAGCCCCGGCUAACUACGUGCCAGCAGCCGCGGUAAUACGUAGGGGGCAAGCGUUAUCCGGAUUUACUGGGUGUAAAGGGAGCGUAGACGGCGGGGCAAGUCUGGAGUGAAAGCCCGGGGCCCAACCCCGGGACUGCUUUAGAAACUGCCAUGC
rnacentral:rRNA from 1 species